UGGGGAAUAUUGGACAAUGGGCGCAAGCCUGAUCCAGCAAUGCCGCGUGUGUGAAGAAGGCCUUCGGGUUGUAAAGCACUUUUAUCAGGAGCGAAACGCUGUCGGCUAAUACCCGGCGGAACUGACGGUACCUGAGGAAUAAGCACCGGCUAACUUCGUGCCAGCAGCCGCGGUAAUACGAAGGGUGCAAGCGUUAAUCGGAAUUACUGGGCGUAAAGCGUGCGUAGGCGGUUUCUUAAGUCUGCUGUGAAAUCCCCGGGCUCAACCUGGGAAUGGCAGUGGAUACUGGGAGGCUAGAGUGUGUCAGAGGGUGGUGGAAUUCCCGGUGUAGCGGUGAAAUGCGUAGAGAUCGGGAGGAACAUCAGUGGCGAAGGCGGCCACCUGGGACAACACUGACGCUGAGGCACGAAAGCGUGGGGAGCAAACAGGAUUAGAUACCCUGGUAGUCCACGCCCUAAACGAUGCGAACUGGAUGUUGGUCUCAACUCGGAGAUCAGUGUCGAAGCUAACGCGUUAAGUUCGCCGCCUGGGG
rnacentral:rRNA from 1 species